rnacentral:rRNA from 1 species
AGUGAACGCUGGCGGUAGGCCUAACACAUGCAAGUCGAACGGCAGCACCGUAGAGCUUGCUCUUACGGGUGGCGAGUGGCGGAGGGGUGCGGGAUACAUCGGAAUCUACUUUUUCGUGGGGGCUAGCGUAGGGAAACUUACGCUAAUACCGCAUAAGACCUACGGGUGAAAGCGGGGGAUCUUCGGACCUUGCGCGGUUGAAUGAGCCGAUGUCGGAUUAGCUAGUUGGCGGGGUAACGGCCCACGAAGGCGACGAUCCGUCGCCGGUCUGAGAGGAGGAUCACCCACACUGGAACUGAGACACGGUCCAGACUCCGACGGGAGGCCGCGAUGGGGAAGAGUGGACGAAGGGCGCAAGCCUGAUCCAGCCGUACCGCGUUGAUGAAGAAGGCCUUCGGGUUGUAAAACCCCUUUGUUGGUAAAGAAAAGCAGCAGGUUGAAACCCCGCUGUUCUGACGGUACCCAGAUAAGAAGCACCGGCUAACUUCGUG